rnacentral:ncRNA from 2 species
CAAACAAACACGGGGAGCUUGCGGGAACGGCAGGCUGAGAUUGGGUGCGCCCGCCGAGGACCCGCAGAACCUGACAUGGGUAAUGCCAACGAAGGGAGAUAUCGUUCAUGACCG